UUUCUGUUUUCCAUUGCAAAAUUUUAAGGACUUUUAUUUUCUUUCUGAAGAAUGUAUUGAAAUGUUAGUGGAAAUUGCUGACACAGAUUGCUGAAUAGUUUUUUUUUUUACUUUGAUAUUUAAAUGAUGUAUGGUGAUGCAGAAUAUGUACUCCAGAUCCAUUGUUAUAAGAAAAAUCUAUUUUAUGUGCCGGCGCAAUUAACUUUGUGUGACGAUGUGCAUGUCUAGAGCUACAUUGCUUGGAGAAUCUGAGUUAAUGUGUUUCCUCAAAAGUUUGCUGCGGAAAUCCAGGAAAAGUCUUGGAAACAGGACCGAUUACUUAUUUAGAAGACUGUGGAUUAUAACAAUUAGUUUUGUUGACAAUAUACUUUUUUGAUGAUCACCUACAACACUCUGUCAGAUGUAUAUAUGGAUUUGUGUGAAUAUGAGAAUUACAGUGGUUCGACUACGUGCUGGACUUCUUACAAGCGGACUAUUGGUCAAACUUGUCUUUCACCACUCAAAGAAAAUUUCUGACUGGACACUUAAAACCUGCGUGCUGUGAAAAUGAAUUGAUGUCAGCUUACAGGUGCAAUAUUUGUUCCUUUUUCAAGGAAAGCCUGGUAUGUUGAAUAAGUGGUAUCAUAAUUGGAAGUACAAAGACGGUGUGAGAUAUUGCUAUGAACUAGUUUGUGCAUUCAUAAAUUAGUGCUAAAGUGAAAGCAUAGCUGACUUAGAGGAUUUAACCAAUUUGGCUUUUUUGACCUUAAAAUUUUAAAUUCACCUUGAAUUCGCACUUUAGUGAUUAACUUUAUAAGUGUGCAUGCAUGUUCACAUUGAGGGUUUAGGAAUCUGAAUGGCACAGCUGAGUAGGCAGUGUGUAUAGACUAGACAUGUGGAUUUGUUUAUGUCAAAAUUUUGAGUCAUUUGUCUCUUCAUCUGAACCAUGAAUGAACAAAUCACCUUUUGAAACAAAGUAAAAGAAAAGCAAGUUGCAUGAUGGACAACAUUCAUUCAUGCAAUUUGUUUGUUUAUUCCCAUUUAGUUGAAUUGAUUGCAAGGAGGUAGCUAUGAGUUCUUCCUUAGUAAUUAGUGGCCCUGGACAUUUAAUAACAGAAGAUGCUGGGAGCAGAGUUGCCCGCUGCUUCCUCCUUCCUUUUCCUGACUUUGUAAUGGGGUGUUCAACAAAAGUGUUGUUGCUGUGUAAAAACUGGGGGUCGGCCUUAGGCCACAACAACUGUCCCUGGUCCUAAAAAAAUAAAAAUAAAUCUAAUUUGAUGCUGUACUGUAAUUCCCAUAAUGCUUGUAGCUCUGUUACAGCUGGGGUCAGCUUUUGGCCACAAAGCUAAUCACAGUUUGAUGUAGAAUUCUAACCCCCUAUGGUGCUUGGCCUUUAUGGCUAGCUAAGCAUUACAUGAGUUGUAGAUGUGCAAUAGCUGGGGAUCAGACUUUGG